CGGACGGGUGAGUAACGCGUGGGUAACCUGCCUUGCACUGGGGGAUAACACUUAGAAAUAGGUGCUAAUACCGCAUAAGCGCACGGUCCUGCAUGGGACAGUGUGAAAAACUCCGGUGGUGCAAGAUGGACCCGCGUCUGAUUAGCUGGUUGGCGGGGUAAAGGCCCACCAAGGCGACGAUCAGUAGCCGGCCUGAGAGGGUGAACGGCCACAUUGGGACUGAGACACGGCCCAAACUCCUACGGAAGGCAGCAG
rnacentral:rRNA from 1 species